AGAUGUCGUUCUAUACUGCGGGGCUUGAGAACACCAGAGGAAGGCGGAAUUCCCGGUGUAAUGCUCCAAUGCGUAGAUAUCGGGAGGAACACCUAUGGCGAAGACGGCAUUCUGGCCUGUUCGUGACGCUGAAGGCGAACGCUAGGGGACCGUACGGGAUUAGAUACCCCGGUAGUCCUAGCUGUAAACGAUGGAUGUUGGCUCUGGGGGCUGUAAAUUCCGUAUGUGCCGAAGCAUACGCAUUAAGCAUCCCGCCUGGGGACUACGGCCGCAAGGAUAUUACUCAUACGAAUUGACGGGGGCCCGCACAAGCAACGGAGCGUGUGGUUUAAUUCGAUGCUACACGAAGAACCUUACCUGGGUCUGACAUGCACGUGGUAGGGAACCGAAAGUGGACCGACAUUCGGGAGCGUGCACAGGUGAUGCAUGCCUGUCGUCAGCUCGUUCCGUGAGUGCUCGGAUUAAGUCCAGUCACGAGCGCAACCUUCGCCAUUAGUUACAAGUGUCUAAGAGGACUGCCCGGCACACCUGCGAGAAAGCUCUGGACGACAUCAAAUCAGCAUGGCCUCUAUAUACAGGGCUACACACACGCUACA
rnacentral:rRNA from 1 species